rnacentral:rRNA from 1 species
AAACUGAAGAGUUUGAUCCUGGCUCAGAUUGAACGCUGGCGGCAUGCCUAACACAUGCAAGUCGAACGGUAACGCGAAGAGCUUGCUCUUUGGCGACGAGUGGCGGACGGGUGAGUAAUACUUAGGAAUCUACCCAGUAGCGGGGGACAACUCGGGGAAACUCGAGCUAAUACCGCAUACGCCCUACGGGGGAAAGCAGGGGAUCUUCGGACCUUGCACUAUUGGAUGAGCCUAAGUCGGAUUAGCUAGUUGGUAGGGUAAAAGCCUACCAAGGCGACGAUCCGUAGCUGGUCUGAGAGGACGAUCAGCCACACUGGGACUGAGACACGGCCCAGACUCCUACGGGAGGCAGCAGUGGGGAAUAUUGGACAAUGGGGGCAACCCUGAUCCAGCAAUGCCGCGUGUGUGAAGAAGGCCUGCGGGUUGUAAAGCACUUUC